AUUGAACGCUGGCGGCAUGCUUUACACAUGCAAGUCGAACGGCAGCGCGGGGCAACCUGGCGGCGAGUGGCGAACGGGUGAGUAAUAUAUCGGAACGUACCCAGAAGUGGGGGAUAACGUAGCGAAAGUUACGCUAAUACCGCAUACGAUCUACGGAUGAAAGUAGGGGACCGCAAGGCCUUAUGCUUUUGGAGCGGCCGAUAUCUGAUUAGCUAGUUGGUGAGGUAAAGGCUCACCAAGGCAACGAUCAGUAGCUGGUCUGAGAGGACGACCAGCCACACUGGAACUGAGACACGGUCCAGACUCCUACGGGAGGCAGCAGUGGGGAAUUUUGGACAAUGGGCGCAAGCCUGAUCCAGCAAUGCCGCGUGAGUGAAGAAGGCCUUCGGGUUGUAAAGCUCUUUUGUCAGGGAAGAAACGGUAGAGGCUAAUAUCCUUUGCUAAUGACGGUACCUGAAGAAUAAGCACCGGCUAACUACGUG
rnacentral:rRNA from 1 species